rnacentral:rRNA from 1 species
CCUACGGGGGGCUGCAGUGGGGAAUAUUGGACAAUGGGGGCAACCCUGAUCCAGCCAUGCCGCGUGUGUGAAGAAGGCCCUCGGGUUGUAAAGCACUUUCAGUGAGGAAGAACGCCUGGUGGUUAAUACCCAUCAGGAAAGACAUCACUCACAGAAGAAGCACCGGCUAACUCCGUGCCAGCAGCCGCGGUAAUACGGAGGGUGCGAGCGUUAAUCGGAAUUACUGGGCGUAAAGCGCGCGUAGGUGGCUUGAUAAGCCGGUUGUGAAAGCCCCGGGCUCAACCUGGGAACGGCAUUCGGAACUGUCAAGCUAGAGUGCAGGAGAGGAAGGUAGAAUUCCCGGUGUAGCGGUGAAAUGCGUAGAGAUCGGGAGGAAUACCAGUGGCGAAGGCGGCCUUCUGGACUGACACUGACACUGAGGUGCGAAAGCGUGGGUAGCAAACAGGAUUAGAUACCCCUGUAGUC